CCGGGGGGGGGUGCUAAUACAUGCAAGUCGAGCGCGGGAAGCGAGUGGAUCCCUUCGGGGUGAAGCUCGUGGAACGAGCGGCGGACGGGUGAGUAACACGUGGGCAACCUGCCUGUAAGAUCGGAAUAACUCCGGGAAACCGGGGCUAAUGCCGGGUAAUACUUUCUUUCGCAUGAAGGAAAGUUGAAAGAUGGCUUCUUGCUAUCACUUACAGAUGGGCCCGCGGCGCAUUAGCUAGUUGGUGAGGUAACGGCUCACCAAGGCGACGAUGCGUAGCCGACCUGAGAGGGUGAUCGGCCACACUGGGACUGAGACACGGCCCAGACUCCUACGGGAGGCAGCAGUAGGGAAUCUUCCGCAAUGGACGAAAGUCUGACGGAGCAACGCCGCGUGAACGAUGAAGGUCUUCGGAUCGUAAAGUUCUGUUGUUAGGGAAGAACAAGUACCGUGCGAAUAGAGCGGUACCUUGACGGUACCUAACGAGGAAGCCCCGGCUAACUACGUGCCAGCAGCCGCGGUAAUACGUAGGGGGCAAGCGUUGUCCGGAAUUAUUGGGCGUAAAGCGCGCGCAGGCGGUUCCUUAAGUCUGAUGUGAAAGCCCACGGCUCAACCGUGGAGGGUCAUUGGAAACUGGGGAACUUGAGGACAGAAGAGGAGAGUGGAAUUCCACGUGUAGCGGUGAAAUGCGUAGAUAUGUGGAGGAACACCAGUGGCGAAGGCGACUCUCUGGUCUGUUUCUGACGCUGAGGUGCGAAAGCGUGGGUAGCAAACAGGAUUAGAUACCCUGGUAGUCCACGCCGUAAACGAUGAGUGCUAGGUGUUAGGGGGCUUCCACCCCUUAGUGCUGAAGUUAACGCAUUAAGCACUCCGCCUGGGGAGUACGGCCGCAAGGCUGAAACU
rnacentral:rRNA from 1 species